rnacentral:lncRNA from 1 species
CUCCCUUCCCAUGUAAAUUGUAAAUCUAAGCAUGAUGAUUUCUAAUUGAUAUAUAUUUUGAUGAAUAUACUGCAUGUAGUAUGGAAAUGUCAAAGGGCCUGGUAAUAUAUUGUAACUAUUUUAAAAGAUCAAUUAUUAAUAGUAUCUAUCCAAAUGCAUAUUCUUCUGAGUUAAACUAUUUAAAAGUUUUGUUUGAUUGCUGAGGAAGUGAGAGAGAAGGUAUUUAGGAAAGAAUU